UACGGAGGGGGCAAGCGUUGUUCGGAAUCAUUGGGCGUAAAGGGCGUGUAGGCGGUCGAUCGAGUCGGAGGUGAAAUCCCUCGGCUCAACUGAGGAAUUGCCUUCGAUACUGUUCGGCUUGAGUCCUGGAGAGGGUAGCGGAAUUCCCGGUGUAGCGGUGAAAUGCGUAGAGACCGGGAAGAACACCAGUGGCGAAGGCGGCUACCUGGACAGGUACUGACGCUAACAGCGCGAAAGCUAGGGGAGCAAACAGG
rnacentral:rRNA from 1 species